AUGACGUCAAAUCAUCAUGCCCCUUAUGACCUGGGCUACACACGUGCUACAAUGGGCGGUACAAAGGGUCGCGAACCCGCGAGGGGGAGCCAAUCCCAAAAAGCCGCUCUCAGUUCGGAUUGCAGGCUGCAACUCGCCUGCAUGAAGCCGGAAUCGCUAGUAAUCGCGGAUCAGCAUGCCGCGGCGAAUACGUUCCCGGGCCUU
rnacentral:rRNA from 1 species